UUUUUGCUCAAAGAAAACCAAGAGCUUGAGCAACAUGAUCAGCUUCUGUGUGAUGUACACGGACCAUUGAACUAGGACUAAUACGAGCAACUUUUGUGCCAACAUGGACGACAGUGUCCCAAUCCCACGUCCUUAUCUCUGAAGACCAUGCUCAAUCGAUGAAAACCCAAAUCAUGCAUGCCUCUCGAAACAAGCAAGCAAUGGAAGAAGGGCUGUUAUCUCAUCCCGUUCCUAGCCGGGCCAACUCCUUGCUAUCAUUUCCGAGUCAUCCCAUCUGUUCACCUUCAACGUGCACAUUGUUAUCAUCCCUUGGUCCUGGCAGUGUGGGGGUGGCGCCGUGAACAGCGGGGGGAGCCCCCGAGGUAAUUUACUCUGCAUCUGAUCCGCGUUAGAUAAUGCUCACUGAUCACUCCAUCCAUACCAACUGCGCACUCGAGUGCGAUGGCAACCGCUUGCCAGCCGCCCUUCGCAUGGCGAUGCUUGAUGCUUCCUCCUCUGCAAUCCUUUGACGUCAUAGUGCUCUCGCAAUUAUCCCCUCCUCUUUACUGCUGUCUCAUCUUCUUCUUUUUUUCUCGUGGGUGGAAUUUGCGGACGGCUGAGUGUCGGUCGCUCCAUCGGCAUCCACAAACGCCGCCAUGAUUCUAAUUUGCCAGCUAUGGAUAAAUGUAGAUUCGCUGUCCUGGGAUCAAUGACUGGAUGGAGGCGGCUUGAAAUGGUGUGACCGCAUGGAGGGACGCAUGCGGGCGGGGAUCACGCACGCCAGGUGCUCGACGGUUUGCGCGGGCAGACGCACAGGUUAAAAGGAGUUGGUUCUUUGUCAAGUUUCAGUCUUCUCGAGUAUCCUGUAGGGGAUGAAUAAUUCCUUCUGGGACCAAUGGAUCAGCUGCAGAAGACAAGAUCAGACACACAGCCAUGCCUGAUGCCUGCCUUCUCUGCAGGUCUGCAUCCCGAGACGAGUCAUGCAUGGCAACAUGGCCCCACCAGGAGGGGGCUGCAAUUACGCCCUGAUGAACUGAAGCCAUGUGAUGUGUGCGGAUGCACCAAACUUGUCCUACGCAACUGGAUACAUGUGGAAUGUAGUGGCUGUACGUGCUCACUCUAACAGGCCACAUACAUCUCCAUCUCAGGAACAAGAAGACAUUUUGCAUGGUUUAGCACUCUGUCGUAAUGCAUAUGUUUCCAUGUGAGCCAACCAAGUGAAGAGAACGGGCGGUUUCUCGCCAAACCGUGGGCUGGUAUGGAGCUUAUAGGAGCUACAGAUACUUUUGUCAUGAGAUACAUGAAAACUCUUCAUCAUCUUCAUGGGCACUGUCUCCUCUUUUGUGUCUUCUUUUGUGGAUACAUUGAUGCUAUUACUGUGGUGACAGACGGGUCAUAAGAUUUCCAGGCCCUUCAGAAAAGCGCUGCUCCACUUUGAUACGAAGUUAUGAAUGUGGUGGCCACAGCUCACAUGAUAACAGUGAUUCCUAUCCUCGCACAGGCGUAGGAGAGACUGCACAUUUAUGAGCAUCAUCUGGGGUGUUAUGAGGGGGUUUUCAUUUGCUAACGGAUUAAGGGGGUUUAGGCACCAUGACUAAUUUGACUUUGGUCUCCUAAUCAUCACAAGUUGGAAGUACAGAACAUGCUCUUUACCUGCCCUGCACAUUCUCCAUCUGAUCAGAGAUAAGUUUCUUAUCAGUUCCCCAUUUGUUUAUCUGCUAUGUUAUCAUCUCUCUCUAUUUCUUUAGUUGAGUCGGUUUAACCGUAUCCAUCCUUCCAUAGUUCCAGGCACAUGCCAAUGAUAGGGCACAUGGAGUUACAAAAGGGUAAGGCACCACAACCAAGCAGAUGAUCUCUUAUGAUAUAUCUAGUCUGAUACUAACAGAUAUCCUCGGUUUCGGUUUGGUGCCUUGUAUGCAUCCGAAAGAAGAUUUGCCACUUUCCCGUUGCAAUUGAAGAUUUGCCAAUGUAAAUAAAAAACAGUUUAGCUUUACCCCUCACCAUGCGUCCCGGUAUUUGAAACCCAGUUCACGACCACCCCCUAAUCCUCCCCGUCGGGACUGAUUUCGGGGCAUGGGUAUGCGUACACGAGCAGUGGCAAAUCUCAGCUGCUUUCAUCUUUGUGGUGGCAACGUGCGCCACAUUUUUUUUAAUGCUGAGAAUCCCUGAUCUACAUGCAGCCCCCACGUGCUCUUGCUCUUGCCGAACUCCGACAUUUCAAUCUACAGAUGUGCUAGAAUGACACUUAUUAUGUCUUUACAAGAGGUCAAGAGACUGGCGAAGAAUGCAGGAACUUACGAUAGCAAGAGGUACGCAAGACAGAAAGAGUGCCCCGCAAUUGCCAAUUGGGUGCCGAAGUGUUCAUGGAAUCCUGCAUGCAUCUGGCUGACGAGUCUGCCGGGCAAAGACUUUGCAGAAGCAAUUGCAUGCGUGGUUUCAGUGCAGCUACUGUUAGCUGAUGUACCACCGUGAUCCAGAUAUCAGAGACAUGCAUGGCCUGCGUACGCGUGUCAUACCCGACGCUGGACAUGCAUGGCCGCACAGAGAAGGCGCUUCAGAAGAACCCCAAUAGACAGUUAUAAUUCAUCAGCUUCAGAACAAUCUCAGGAACGCAUUGUUUGGCUUUCUCCAAGACGAAUCAGUGAUAUCAGCUUGUAUGAGGCCAGCAGUGAGUUGGUUAUAUGUCUUCUUUUCUCAGCAGUUAUUCACUCAAGAGUUUAGGUUAACUGGUUAAUUUAUUGAUGGGAUCCAUGGGACCCUUUAAUUUAUUAAGUCUACCAAAAUGCAUGCAUCCAUGUACUUAUGUGUCUAUAGAGAAGUAUAUAUACAGAGAAGUUUCAUCGGAGGUGAGAAUACUACAGAGUUUUGUUCACCUCCUGGGUUAAUUAUGGCCUGUAUUAUAUUUUCUAUUUGGAAUUAAUUCAUGGGAUCGUGGGACCCUUUAAUUGAUUAA